GGAUGCACAUGCGCAGAGGGAGAGGCCGAGCGCCCGAGUUAGGCUGGUGGAUGCGAUGCGGGGCUUGGAAGAGGCGCUAGACGGUGCCUGUCUGCUCUGGCCGCACCCCUCAGUUGUAAAAUGAGGCUGAUAGUGCCUAGCUAGCAGGGGUUUUAUGAGAAUUGGAGGCGCUUACGUUGUAAAAGCACUUAAACCGGUGUCUGACACAUAAAUUGUUCAGUAUAUUUCUCACAAUUAUAUAUCAUGCUGGUCAUCAUAAGGUUCUCCUGCAAAACAGCCUUGUAUAGUGGGUUGAGAGAUUACUGUCUCAGUUACCCACUCCUGCUUGGAACCAGGAUUCUGUCAGUGUCCCCAGAGGUUGUGGAUCAAAUCAAUGUGCCUUUUAGACACAAGCCAAGAGAAGGAAAGGUGUGCUUGAAUUCAUUCACGAACAUGCAUGGUAACGUUUAACUGAAAGACUGGAAGAGAAAACUAACAUCUGUGACCAGUAUGGUUAUUCUCUGGAAUAAGGAAAAACAGAAGCUAGCAGUUCAAGACCCAAACAUAAAAUUGUUUAUAUGUUUAAAAAAAAAAAAAGCCGUUUGAGUAACAAAUUUGAAGAAGAAAGCACGCACUCAUUUCCCAAAACCAACCAUACUUUACCCAGAACUACACUACACGUACAUUCUUUUACGUGCACAUCUGGCAUUUUCAGCACACUAUGAGCAUGUGCGUGUGUUACAACUUUUCAUUUAAAAAAUCAACUCCUAGGUCAUUGUCCACUUUUUUAAACUUUUCAUUUGCUCAUAAUUUCAGAUUUACAGAAGAGUUACAAAAUAGUUCCUAUAUGCCUUUCACCCAGAUUCCACUAGUGUUAGUAUUUUACAUGACCAUGGUAUAUUUAUCAAAAUUAAGAAAAUAACAUGGGUACAAGUACUAUUAACUAAACUGCAGAGUUUAUUCAGACUUAAGCAGUUCUUCCACUAAUGCCCUUUUUCUGUUCCAGCAACCAAUCAAGGAUAUUGUCACCGGGGGUCCUUGCUCCCAGAGCUCCCAAGAUGGUGGUGGGCCGCUUCCGAGAUGGGGGCAAGCCUCAUGUUCUCUGACCUGGGGUUCUUGGCCUCAUGGAUUACAAGGAAUGGCAUUUUGGGCUAUGUGGGAAACAUGAGACAUCAAUCAACAUAUGUAAAAUGAACAUUGGUUCCGUCCAAAAAGGCGGCAAAAGCGGGACAACUGAAAGCAGGGAGGGUGCUUCCAGGUCAAAGGUAAACCUUCAGAGAUUUCUACAUUAUUCCAGGAUCAGCAGAAAAUGAAGAAAUCCUAUGGAUCCUUGUCAUUUGAAGAUGUGACUGUGGGCUUCACCCAGGAGGAGUGGCAGCAUCUGGCCCCUGCUCAGAUGACCCUGUACAGGGAUGUGAUGCUAGAGAACUACAGCCACCUCGUCUCAGUGGGAUAUUGCGUCCCUAAACCAGAAGUGAUCUUCAAAUUGGAACAAGGAGAGCAGCCAUAGAUAUUAGAGGAAGAGCCCCCAGGCCAGAGAUACCCAGGUGAAUUGGCAUGUAUUAAGCAGAAGGAUGCCAGUGACAUGAUCAUCCAGAAGCAAUAAGGAAAAAGAGCAACACAACUUUAUCUCAUGACAAUAGAGGAUAUCUGAAACCCCAAAUCAAUACAAGUGGAAAUGCUGCCAGAAUCACUGAAAAAUUAAGGAGGUCUAUAUGUACCAGCAGAUGAAAAGAAACAAAAACAUUUCUGGUGCUUGAAGGAACUGGUAAUAUACUUGACAGAGAUAAAGUACAUACUCUGAGGUGCAAAGCUUAAAUCUCUCUUGGAAUAACAUCAGUGCUGUGCACAGGACAGCUGGAGCUCCUUUGAAUGCAGUUUGGUUCUGUGAAGCUGAUGUAGGGUUACGUAUGGAAACAGACACACAAGUCAUAUUUUUCUGUGACAAUGCAAGAGAUGAGACUUUCCAUUUCAGAAAAAAAAUGUUACAGACACCUGUAUGUGGGGAAAUAAACUUACAUGCUAUCUUAGCUUGUAUUCCUACAAACAAUUUGAAAUAAAAAUUUACUCAAUAACUAUUGGUCAGGAUGGGCAGACCUACUGCAGAAGUGAGGAAAUGGGGAAUAAGGCUGGUUAGGACGAAGAGAAAGUACAAGAGGGUGAUAACAGAGCAAGCCAUUACUAAGGCUACUCUGGCAAGAAAGGAGCGACAAUCUGGGUUGAUGCAUAAACUGAGUUUGGUGUAUGUGCAAAACACUUGUUCAUAAGAAGCUCUCUUGUUAGGUUAAGACAUGGCUCUGUUCCCUUUACCUAGUAAAACUGAUGCAGUGUAAAAGCUCAUGUCCUUUGAAGCUGAGUAAUCCAAAAGGAACCAGCAUAAAAUGCCCCACAAAACUACUGCAAGAAAAAAGAGGUGAAAAAGAUUAGAAAAAAAAAGUAGGUGAUGAAAUGUCACCUGAUCAAAGUGGACAUAAAGUAGAUAAAUAAUUGGGCCAAAUAAUAAACCAUGAAUUUCAAAAAGGACUAAUUGAAUUGAUUACCUGCAUGAUAUGAGAGUUCAAGAAGGAUGUUAAGGCAACAGUAUAAUGUUUUAAUUCAUUUAAUAAAAUGCAUUCUGGGAUGUCAGGCUGAGAAAAGAAUUGGAAGAGAAAAUAAGAACCACAGUAAAGAAAGCAAAUUGGGGCCAGGGACGGUGGCUCACACCUGUAAUCCCUGCACUUUGGGAGGCCAAGGCCAGUGGAUCUCUUGAGGUCAGGAGUUUGAGACAGGCCUGGCCAACAUAGUGAAACCCCAUCUCUACUAAAAAUACAAAAAAUUAGCCGGGAAUGGUGGCACACCUGUAAUCCCAGUUACUUAGGAGGCUGAGGCAGGAGAAUAACUUGAACCCAGCAGGCAGAGGCUGCAGUGAGUCAAGAUCACACCACUGCACUCUAGCCUGGGCAACAGAAUGAAACUCCAUCUCAAAAAAAAUAAAAGCAAAUUGGAGGAUUCCCAAAGAAUAGGCAUUGCUGAAAUAUAGAUUAGAAAUAAAUGUGGAAAGCCUUUCAAGCAAGAAGAAACUGAAGUAAAUAAAAGGUGAAUAUUGCAUAAAGAAGAUAAUAUAAAAGAUAUUUCACAUGUAUGCUAUUACAUACAGUUGAUUCCCCAAAGUAGAAAAUGAAAUAAAUAGAACCAAUAUUGAAAAUAUUCCAAUAACACUUUUUGGGGAAAAGAAGAUACAAUUGAAUCUACAUAAAAAGACAAACCAUCCCUCAGGAAGGCAGACCAACAAUGAUCAACAUCGUGAUAUAUUCCUAAUAAUAUUACUAGAUUUCAAAGAUAAAGAAUCAUUUUGACAGCCAGUCAAUAUAAGAAAAAAGUCCAGCUGAUCUCAGCCUUUUCCAUAACAAAGUUUGCUAAACAAAACUGAUAAAAGUCUGCAGAGCAAUUGCUACAAAAUCAUUAGGGUAGGUCAAAUUAAGAACUUUAUACCAGGUUAAAGAGCGAUUCUUUAACAAAAAAGAGGAAACCUUUUUUUGAAUAGGCAAGAAUUCUGGGCCCUUUCUCCCUAAGACCUUUUAUUAGAGGAUGAAUAUCAGAUAACCAAGAAGUAACACAAAAAGCAUGGUAAAAAUAUUGGUGGUAGCCUCUGAAUUUAAUUGAGGAACUAAUUCUAAAGCAAAUGUGAGAAUGUGUUAUUGAAAACCUGGGCGUUAUAGACUGUAUUUAAUUUGAUUAAGUGGAGGCUAAAAACAAGUGGGAAGAAUGACAGUAUUCUAAUAAAGUGAAUUAUGUUA